UAAACUGAGGGAGUGGAGAGUGGUGCAGGAAGGUCUUUGAGGCUCUUUGUUUGCCUGUGCUUCAGCAGCCGCAGAAAACGCAAAGGUCGGUGCUCGUGGUGCUGGUCUUCAAUAGAGGGUGAGAACUGAUCUCCAACAGUUACAAAGCAUUUUAAGAUUGAAGAGUGACUUGUGUGAAAGAUGGUCGAUCCUGUGAAAUUAUGUGAGUCUUCUAGCUCUCAGCUUAACUGGCCACAGCCUGAAGAACCAUUCCAUAACGAGGAAGAAGAAAGCAAAGAAUCAAAGAUCAAAUACUAUCUUCUAACAGUUGUUACAGAAGACAACCUUAAGGAGCUAGGGAUUACCAAGCAAGAUUGUCAAGACUUUUCAAGGAACAGACGUGAUGGUUUGGCUGAUAGACUUGAGAAGGAAGGGGAAA